GACGAACGCUGGCGGCGUGCCUAAUACAUGCAAGUCGAGCGGGCCUCCGGAGGUGCUUGCACCUCCGGAAGGCCAGCGGCGGACGGGUGAGUAACACGUGGGCAACCUGCCUUUGAGGCCGGGAUAACACCGGGAAACCGGUGCUAAUACCGGAUACGUCCUCUUUCGCGCCUGCGAGAGGGGAGAAAGACGGUCUUUAAGGCCGUCGCUCAAGGAGGGGGCCGCGGCGCAUUAGCUGGUUGGUGGGGUAAGGGCCUACCAAGGCGACGAUGCGUUGCCGACCUGAGAGGGUGAUCGGCCACACUGGGACUGAGACACGGCCCAGACUCCUGCGGGAGGCAGCAGUAGGGAAUCAUCCGCAAUGGGCGAAAGCCUGACGGUGCAACGCCGCGUGAGUGAGGAAGGUUUUCGGAUCGUAAAGCUCUGUUGUGAGGGAAGAACAGCUUCCGGAGGAAAUGCCGGAGGUUUGCCGGUACCUCACCAGAAAGCCCCGGCUAACUACGUGCCAGCCGCCCGCGGUAA
rnacentral:rRNA from 1 species